rnacentral:rRNA from 1 species
UACGUAGGGUGCGAGCGUUGUCCGGAAUUAUUGGGCGUAAAGGGCUCGUAGGCGGUCUGUCGCGUCGGGAGUGAAAACUCAGGGCUUAACCCUGAGCCUGCUUCCGAUACGGGCAGACUAGAGGUAUGCAGGGGAGAACGGAAUUCCUGGUGUAGCGGUGAAAUGCGCAGAUAUCGUUUGGAACGCCAACGGUGAAAACAGACAGCUGGGAGUGUGCUGACGCUGAGACACGAAAGCCAGGGGAGCGAACGGG